CCUCUGUUUAGGGAGGACCGGAUUUCAUUUACAAAAAAGGGCAACAGUUUCAGUUUCAUUUCUCCAGAUUCAUUUCUUUGAGAUUUCCUCCCUUUAUCUGACCUGCUCUCCUUCAGCUUUAGUUUCAUUCAACUUCGUUUUGCUGUAAGAAGGAGAACUGAAUAAGAUUGAUCUUUGCCAGUGACUUGCCGGUGUUUGAGAAGAAACAUCCCGCAGAAAAUGGACCUGGAGGAAAACACUAAUGACUUGACUAUCCUGGUCCACAACCAGAGUUAUGAUGAUGUCACGGUUGCAGUCAGUGCCAGGCCAAUAUACAAACUGCUGGAUGGCAACGUGGUGUUCUUCUGGUUGCAAUGGCUUUGGUCCAGCAUUGCCACCACAGACGUUGGCCCAAAAGCUACAAAGAAAGUAAAUACAGUGACCAGCUGGAAUAUGAUCACUCACCAGUUGGGAAGCUGGGGGUGGAGACUUUAUAACAUAACUGUGCGAAGGAAGGCGGAUGGAUACGUUGCUACAUGUACAACUCCACUGCAUUGCACUUGGAUAGUUGAAGAAAGGGGAAUACACCAAAAAGAUGCUGCUGAAAACUACUACUGCAAAUUUGAACCACCUGCCAACAGUCAACAGAUCAGCCAAUCAGAUACUAUACAGAUCAGUAUAGUAUAACCAACAAAGACCAUCACAACAUAUUGGGCAUCACAACCUUCUACAAGAAUAAAAGUUACCAACAUCUGUAUUGGCUCAGUUCACUAAAUCAUUCCAUAAAUUCAGAUGAGAGUGUGGUGGUGUUCUUUCGCUGUCUUCUAUUUUCACGUAAUUAAGAAACGGUUGGCCAGCCAGGUGUUGUAAAAGGAAAGGGAUUUGGCUUGCCUUUAGCAGCUCUAACUUGAGGAGUCGAUUUUUCUGCUAAUGCAAUUGACCAGACUCUUGCAUACCAUGUGUACGAAGGAAACUUAAAUACUAAACAUCAACACAAAUUGGUCAAACGAAACUGAUUGUCUUGCUUGCUUUGCGUUUUGUUUUGUUUUUUUUAAAUCUUGGAGUAUAGCAAUAAUUGUACCAAAUUAUUUAACCAUAACCUCUUCAUCAUAUUGACAGCUGCCAUCAACUUUUUUUUCCUCUUCUCUCUGCUCUUUGGGUCCCCCAGCUUUAUUACCCAAUACACUAAUCUUGAAGCCAUCUUAUUGCAUUUAUUUAUGGCUCUGGAAAAGGGCACAUCCAGAUGUUUUGGACUACAAUUUUAAUCAUCCCCAGCCAGCCCAGCCAUGGAGGAAAAAAUGUUUACAAAUCCUGCAUUAAUUCCUGACUUUGUCAAUAAGAUCCCCCCUCUCAUAGUUCUGCCCUGGGUGAACACACUGUGCUGUUAACCGUAGAAGCAUGUAAAGGAGCCCAUGUGCUGUGCUAGAGUACUGUAUUGGAUCGGAAAGAGAUAGAGGUGAAUUUGAAUCUCAGCUCAGCAAUGAAGAUAGCUCGGGGUAGGACUUUUAGUAAGGUUGUCUCUGCUCUGUGGAACAGCAUUCCUGCCAAGAUAUGACAGACACCCACUAUCUGCACUUUCUGGAAAUAAUUGAAGACAUUUUGGUUCCAGCAAACUGUCCCAGCUGGAUUAAUAGGUCUCUUCCAUGGAUGUCUACAUAGCAUUCUUUUAAAACUGACCUGCUGUUAUUUUCUGUACUGUUUUUAAACUGAUCUUUAGCUGUUUUAUUGCAUUUUGUGCUUGCCUAGAGAUGUAUUUGCAGAAGGCAAUAAACAAAUUAAUAAUCAUAUCAUAGGGAGACGCUGAGCAAGUUAGAUGCCCGCAGCUGAAUUUACCCCAUUGUGUUGUUCAGAUAACCUUAGUAUGCAUUCCCUUCUCUGUCUAUGAGAU